CCCUUAAUUAUCCAUCAUCUUUAAUAUAUUACGUACUGCCUCGUUAAAAACCUUAUCAUGGAAAAACCCAAUGGGAUAAAAACCAUGACAAGGAAAAAAGAGUACAGUAACGUAAUCUCCCCCUGGAAUGAUGGAUAUAACGUUCUCUUCAUAAAUCCCGUAAAUGACGCAUUCCGAUACUUUGAAUAUGCUUUCUGAAUACUGUAGUAGGAAGCGCCUUUGUAAAG
rnacentral:lncRNA from 1 species